rnacentral:rRNA from 1 species
UACAGAGGUCUCAAGCGUUGUUCGGAAUCACUGGGCGUAAAGGGUGCGCAGGCUGCGCGGGCAGUCAAUUGUGGAAUCCAGGGGCUCAACCCCUGGACUGCACUUGAUACUUCCGCGCUAGAGCCCUGGAGAGGAGUCUGGAAUUCUCGGUGUAGCAGUGAAAUGCGUAGAUAUCGAGAGGAACGCCAACGGCGAAAGCAAGACUCUGGACAGGUGCUGACGCUCAUGCACGAAGGCCAGGGGAGCAAACGGG